rnacentral:rRNA from 1 species
ACGAAGGGGGCUAGCGUUGUUCGGAUUUACUGGGCGUAAAGCGCACGUAGGCGGAUCGUUAAGUUGGGGGUGAAAUCCCAGGGCUCAACCCUGGAACUGCCUUCAAUACUGGCGAUCUAGAGUCCGGAAGAGGUGAGUGGAACUCCUAGUGUAGAGGUGGAAUUCGUAGAUAUUAGGAAGAACACCAGUGGCGAAGGCGGCUCACUGGUCCGGUACUGACGCUGAGGUGCGAAAGCGUGGGGAGCAAACAGGA